ACGUCGAUCAACACCCUGCUCUGGGUGCGUAACCAGAGAAGGGAUGUUUUUGCAUCCCUUUUCAAAUCAAAAAAAUCCUCAAAAAUCUAUAUGGAUAGAGGAUUCAAUUAUAAUUCCAAAACAUAUAAUGAUUGGAUUAAAACUCUCAUAAAUGGAUGUGUUCUCAAAUCCUUUCAAGUGAAGUCUGAUCACCAUGUGUGCAGGCAUG
rnacentral:lncRNA from 1 species